rnacentral:rRNA from 1 species
AUUGAACGCUGGCGGCAUGCCUUACACAUGCAAGUCGAACGGCAGCACGGGAGCAAUCCUGGUGGCGAGUGGCGAACGGGUGAGUAAUGUAUCGGAACGUGCCCAGUCGUGGGGGAUAACGUAGCGAAAGCUACGCUAAUACCGCGUACGAUCUAUGGAUGAAAGCGGGGGAUCGCAAGACCUGCCGCGAUUGGAGCGGCCGAUAUCAGAUUAGGUAGUUGGUGGGGUAAAGGCCCACCAAGCCUGCGAUCUGUAGCUGGUCUGAGAGGACGACCAGCCACACUGGAACUGAGACACGGUCCAGACUCCUACGGGAGGCAGCAGUGGGGAAUUUUGGACAAUGGGCGCAAGCCUGAUCCAGCAAUGCCGCGUGCAGGAUGAAGGCCUUCGGGUUGUAAACUGCUUUUGUACGGAACGAAACGGCUUUUUCUAAUACAGAGAGCUAAUGACGGUACCGUAAGAAUAAGCACCGGCUAACUACGUGCCAGCCGCCGCAGUAA